UACGUAGGUGGCAAGCGUUGUCCGGAAUUAUUGGGCGUAAAGGGCGUGCAGGCGGCGUCGUAAGUCGGUCUUAAAAGUGCGGGGCUUAACCCCGUGAGGGGACCGAAACUGCGAUGCUAGAGUAUCGGAGAGGAAAGCGGAAUUCCUAGUGUAGCGGUGAAAUGCGUAGAUAUUAGGAGGAACACCAGUGGCGAAAGCGGCUUUCUGGACGACAACUGACGCUGAGGCGCGAAAGCCAGGGGAGCAAACGGG
rnacentral:rRNA from 1 species